rnacentral:lncRNA from 10 species
UCUCCCUCCCCCAGGCACACAGAUUCUCCCUCCACUUGCUGCUGCUGGAGGGUAAGGGAGAAGUGCUGUAUACAGGGCAGGCCUGCCUUUCCUAACCCCAUCGGUGCCUCUUUCCUUGAUAUGAUGUCAGAAUCAGGAGAAAAACAAGGAGAGAAAAAUCUAAACCCAGCAGAAGAGAAAGUUUAAGAAAGCGGUCGUCGCCAAUACCAAAAUUAGCUAUGAUAUUCAGGAAGAAAAAAAUGGAAACACGAUAACCACAGUCAAUAAAGACCAAGGCCACAUUCCAUUGACCAGAGCUCAGCCACGCGCCACACCUGGCUAAAGAGACUCUGGCUGAAGAAUUCCCUGAAUAUUUUAAUGUAGCUCUAGGUUAUAACACAGAACAACCACAAGGUGGCAGAAGAACUCCAUUCUUGUAAAUCUCUUAGUUGCUUCUUUAUUUCAUCUUCCCUAUUCCAUCUAAUGUUCCCUGAAUUUUACUAUUUUGUUGGUUUGAAAAUAUGUGUGACUUACGUCCUUUAAAGGAUUUGGUUCGUAAGGUUUUGAAUAGACUGGAAUAUAAAACAUUUAUAGAAAAGAAAAAUACCUACAGUAUGAUGU